GAUGAACGCUGGCGGCGUGCUUAACACAUGCAAGUCGAACGGAAGGGCCCAAGCUUGCUUGGGUACUCGAGUGGCGAACGGGUAAGUAACACGUGGGUGAUCUGCCCUGCACUUCGGGAUAAGCCUGGGAAACUGGGUCUAAUACCGGAUAGGACCACUUCUUGGAUGUUGUGGUGGAAAGUUUUUUCGGUGUGGGAUGAGCUCGCGGCCUAUCAGCUUGUUGGUGGGGUAAUGGCCUACCAAGGCGUCGACGGGUAGCCGGCCUGAGAGGGUGUACGGCCACAUUGGGACUGAGAUACGGCCCAGACUCCUACGGGAGGCAGCAGUGGGGAAUAUUGCACAAUGGGCGCAAGCCUGAUGCAGCGACGCCGCGUGGGGGAUGACGGCCUUCGGGUUGUAAACUCCUUUCGCUAGGGACGAAGCGUUUUUGUGACGGUACCUGGAGAAGAAGCACCGGCUAACUACGUG
rnacentral:rRNA from 1 species